UGGGGAAUAUUGGACAAUGGGCGAAAGCCUGAUCCAGCCAUGCCGCGUGUGUGAAGAAGGUCUUCGGAUUGUAAAGCACUUUAAGUUGGGAGGAAGGGCAGUAAGCGAAUACCUUGCUGUUUUGACGUUACCGACAGAAUAAGCACCGGCUAACUCUGUGCCAGCAGCCGCGGUAAUACAGAGGGUGCAAGCGUUAAUCGGAAUUACUGGGCGUAAAGCGCGCGUAGGUGGUUCGUUAAGUUGAACGUGAAAGCCCCGGGCUCAACCUGGGAACUGCAUCCAAAACUGGCGAGCUAGAGUAGGGCAGAGGGUGGUGGAAUUUCCUGUGUAGCGGUGAAAUGCGUAGAUAUAGGAAGGAACACCAGUGGCGAAGGCGACCACCUGGGCUCAUACUGACACUGAGGUGCGAAAGCGUGGGGAGCAAACAGG
rnacentral:rRNA from 1 species